rnacentral:rRNA from 1 species
GUGUCAGCAGCCGCGGUAAUACAGGGGGGGCAAGCGUUGUUCGGAAUUACUGGGCGUAAAGGGCGUGUAGGCGGCCGAUUAAGUCCGACGUGAAAUCCCUAGGCUUAACCUAGGAACUGCGUCGGAUACUGAUUGGCUUGAAUCCGGGAGAGGGAUGCGGAAUUCCAGGUGUAGCGGUGAAAUGCGUAGAUAUCUGGAGGAACACCGGUGGCGAAGGCGGCAUCCUGGACCGGCAUUGACGCUGAAGCGCGAAAGCCAGGGGAGCAAACGGGAUUAGAUACCCCUGUAGUCC